rnacentral:rRNA from 1 species
GACGAACGCUGGCGGCGUGCUUAACACAUGCAAGUCGAACGGAAAGGCUCCAGCUUGCUGGAGUGCUCGAGUGGCGAACGGGUGAGUAACACGUGGGCAAUCUGCCCUGCACUCUGGGAUAAGCCUGGGAAACUGGGUCUAAUACCGGAUAGGACCUUUCUCCUCAUGGGGUUUGGUGGAAAGUUUUUCGGUGCAGGAUGAGCCCGCGGCCUAUCAGCUUGUUGGUGGGGUAAUGGCCUACCAAGGCGACGACGGGUAGCCGGCCUGAGAGGGUGAUCGGCCACAUUGGGACUGAGAUACGGCCCAGACUCCUACGGGGGGCAGCAGUGGGGAAUAUUGCACAAUGGGCGAAAGCCUGAUGCAGCGACGCCGCGUGAGGGAUGACGGCCUUCGGGUUGUAAACCUCUUUCAGUAGGGACGAAGCGCAAGUGACGGUACCUGCAGAAGAAGCACCGGCUAACUACGUG